CCUCUCCUCUUUCUUCCUCAUUUGGGCGGUUCAAGCUUGCCCUAGAUUCCCCCUCUUUUCUCCAAAUCAGCACUUCACCUCUCUAAAAUCUUGGCUUUUCCACUAGAAUCCUUUCCUCUCUACCUCAUUUAGUCUCCUAAACUCCUUGCAAGUCCUUUUUGACCAAAUGGCUCCCAAAAUGAAGCUCUCACAGAGAAGAAAAUUUGUUCACGAGU
rnacentral:lncRNA from 1 species